rnacentral:rRNA from 1 species
AUUGAACGCUGGCGGCAGGCCUAACACAUGCAAGUCGAGCGAGCGGCGGACGGGUGAGUAAUUCCUAGGAACUGCCUGGUAGUGGGGGAUAACAGUUGGAAACGACUGCUAAUACCGCAUACGAUUGGCUUGUCCAGGUGGUAUUAGCUAGUUGGUGAGGUAAUGGAUCACCAAGGUGAUGAUCCCUAGCUGGUCUGAGAGGAUGAUCAGCCACACUGGAAAUAAGAAACGGUCCAGACUCCUACGGGAGGCAGCAGUGGGGAAUAUUGCAAAAUGGGAGAAGCCCUGAUGCAGCCAUGCGGCGUGUGUGAAGAAGGCCUUCGGGUAGUAAAGCAAUUUCAGCGAGGAGGGGUUACUCGCAGAAGAAAAACCGGCUAACUCCGUGCCAGCAGCCGCGGUAAUUC